GAGGAGUUUUCGGUCUGCAGUCACCCGGCCCCGGGAGCCAAGCUAGAGGAGGAAGACGGGCCGGGACAGGGGUGGUGCUCGCCAGGCCCCCUACAACCUGGGCACCCGCUAGCUCUUUCGUCCCCGCACCCCGACGCUGGGCACACAACUCCGGCUGCUUCCCGAGCGCCGCUCCGGGAGCGAGCACAUCCCUGCAGCUGUCUGCCGGACAGGUCUUGGGGGACGGCGGCCCCUUUUUUGCAGCGGGUGGGGCGAGAAGCUACGGGAUGUGGAGCUUCCAGAUAAGGGAGUGUCCCUGCCCGCCGCACUGCAAGGUAGCUUCCUGCGGUAAGCAGGGACUGGGUGGUGGCGGUUACGAGUCAUUCAGAAUUUUUUUCUUGUUUUUUUUUUUUUAAAACCUGCAGGGCGGCUGAGCGAUUAGGCGCGGCUAGCGGAACCGAGCGGCGGUGGCUGGGCUUUCCCCACGCUCCCGUCACUAGUUAAGCCGCCAGCCCCGUGGCAGCCGCUCCACAGCCCACUCCCGGGCCUGGGCUCUGACCCGAACGGCUGGCUCCGCCCUGUUGCACCUCAUAACAUCUCCCGCUGCAAACCGUCCAAUCCGGUGACGCUACGACAGUAUGCGACCCAAUCAAGGGCUACCGCUCAAGCCUUCUACCCCGCCCCUCAGCCUCCCCUUCCCACUCCAUCUCGGGAGGUGGCUCACCAGCUCUGAUCCCUAGAGGAGCCUCUAGCUCUGGGGAUAGUGCUUGGCACCUCUUCACCACCCCACCCCUGUCCUCUCCCCGUCUUAUGCACACCCCCCCUCCAGGUCUCUGCCCUGCUGAUGCUGUUGAGGGUCCUUUCGAUCCUCAUUGACAGCUUUUGUGUCUGCCACCAUCCUGAGAGAACAGAACAAAAACCAAGAUGCUGUGGAACGUGUUACCUUUUUCAUCUUUGCUACAAUUGCCUUCUAAAGACUCCUCCUCCUUUCCACACCCAUCGCCUAGGGUCCUGUUUCUUGUGGAGGUUUUUGAAAGAGCACUCAGGAGCUGAUAAAGAAGAAACUGAACCUCACUUUAUUGUUCCUUACAGUGAAAGAGGGCAGACAGAAUUUACAACCAAAUCCAGGCAGAAUUUACCACCAGAACCUGACAUUUAGAGGAGAGAAAUUAACUAGAUCUUUUUUUUUUUUUUUUUUUUUUUUUUUGCAGUAGCCAUGAAAUAUGUAAGGUGUGACUGCCCCUAACCAAAUUAACCAAUAGCCAGGGUGAUAAAUAAUAAAUAAAUGAAAACAGAGCCUA
rnacentral:lncRNA from 1 species